AGACAACCCUACGUGACCAAGCCGCUCGAAUCUCUUUCCGCGUAAUCAAUUUUUUUUCCCGCGGACAGAAAUAUCUUUGGAGAAAAAAGAGAUUUCAUGCUGAACUAGUAAACAUUCUCUGUAAAAGUGAAAUAAGUGUGCUUGAAAUUAACGAAAGUGAGAAGAGAAAUUCUAAUGCAGUCCAGCGCAGCUAAUAAAAAAACAAAUGUAAUAUCCCUUUGAAAAAAGAUACGGCAUCGAGAGCGAUUAUAAAUUAAAAAAAAAAAAAAGUUUUUUUUGCUGCUCUAGCAACGGUCUCGAGAGAACGACGCAAUCUCCGAGAUGGAGACAGGAGAGUAGAGAUCAUGGACCCGCCAUCCAACGGUGAAGCCGGAAACCGAUCGGGCUCUCUUCUAUUGUGCGCGAUGAUCAACGGAAGAAUUUGGUAGCCAACAUCCCUUCGCUCAUUAACAUCACUAUACGCCACCGUAUAAAACUACAUUUUAUGUUCCUGCUUAUUUUACAUAUGCACGAUGUACGCUCUUGCCAAGUGCGUAUUUAUCCAAUAACGCAACUUCUAAAAUGCUAUUCAAUGAGAUUUCUAUUCAACGACUAAAUGCUAAACGUGACUCGAAGCAAAAUAUGACUCAAUGAUAAUGCAAGAAUGUCGGGUAAGAUUCUCGGCAGAUUCGACAAUCGAUCAGACAAGUCGCAUAUAAAUUGUUCGCCUGUUGAACGGAAGUUGAACGUACGAAAGGCAACGUGGAGAAUAGGAAAAAAAAAAAAAAAACAACAAAAUAAAUGACAAGAGGCAA